UACGAAGGGAGCUAGCGUUGUUCGGAAUUACUGGGCGUAAAGCGCGCGUAGGCGGUGAUGCAAGUCAGGGGUGAAAUCCCGGAGCUUAACUCCGGAACUGCCUUUGAAACUGCAUUGCUGGAGUAUGUGAGGGGAUAGCGGAAUUCCUAAUGUAGAGGUGAAAUUCGUAGAUAUUAGGAGGAACACCGGUGGCGAAGGCGGCUAUCUGGCACAUUACUGACGCUGAGGCGCGAAAGCGUGGGGAUCAAACAGG
rnacentral:rRNA from 1 species